rnacentral:rRNA from 1 species
GAUGAACGCUGGCGGCGUGCCUAAUACAUGCCAGUCGAGCGAACAGACGAGGAGCUUGCUCCUCUGACGUUAGCGGCGGACGGGUGAGUAACACGUGGAUAACCUACCUAUAAGACUGGGAUAACUUCGGGAAACCGGAGCUAAUACCGGAUAAUAUAUUGAACCGCAUGGUUCAAUAGUGAAAGACGGUUUUGCUGUCACUUAUAGAUGGAUCCGCGCCGCAUUAGCUAGUUGGUAAGGUAACGGCUUACCAAGGCGACGAUGCGUAGCCGACCUGAGAGGGUGAUCGGCCACACUGGAACUGAGACACGGUCCAGACUCCUACGGGAGGCAGCAGUAGGGAAUCUUCCGCAAUGGGCGAAAGCCUGACGGAGCAACGCCGCGUGAGUGAUAAAGGUCUUCGGAUCGUAAAACUCUGUUAUUAGGGAAGAACAAAUGUGUAAGUAACUAUGCACGUCUUGACGGUACCUAAUCAGAAAGCCACGGCUAACUACGUG